GGGGCUAAGAGGCUGCGGGCAGGCGAGCGGUGUCCGGAGGAGGCGGCGGGGAGCCUCUGUGAAGUUAACCUGAAAAUGACACUCGUGAGCUCCAUCUGUUACCAGAGAAAGUCUGCGAAGAUGGAUCAUUAACAGAAGCUGGGAAAAAAACAUGCAUAUUUGUCAGCAGACAAAAGGUGCACCAGUGCCAGUUCAGAGUGACUCCACCUUGGCCUGUGGUUUUUUCAGUUUUAUAUCAGUGUAAGCAAGAC